UUAAGCGACUAAGCGUACACGGUGGAUGCCCGGCAGUCAGAGGCGAUGAAGGACGUGCUAAUCUGCGAAAAGCGUCGGUAAGGUGAUAUGAACCGUUAUAACCGGCGAUGUCCGAAUGGGGAAACCCAGUGCAAUUCGUUGCACUAUCGUUAACUGAAUACAUAGGUUAACGAGGCGAACCGGGGAACUGAAACAUCUAAGUACCCCGAGGAAAAGAAAUCAACCGAGAUUCCCCAGUAGCGGCGAGCGAACGGGGAGCAGCCCAGAGUCUGAAUCAGCUUGUGUGUUAGUGGAACGGUCUGGAAAGUCCGACGGUACAGGGUGAUAGUCCCGUACACCAAAAUGCACAGGUUGUGAACUCGAAGAGUAGGGCGGGACACGUGGUAUCCUGUCUGAAUAUGGGGACCAUCCUCCAAGGCUAAAUACUCCUGACUGACCGAUAGUGAACCAGUACCGUGAGGGAAAGGCGAAAAGAACCCCGGCGAGGGAGUGAAAAGAACCUGAAACCGUGUACGUACAAGCAGUGGGAGCACCUUCGGGUGUGACUGCGUACCUUUGUAUAAUGGGUCAGCGACUUAUAUUCUGUAGCAAGGUUAACCGUAUAGGGGAGCCGCAGGAAACCGAGUCUUAACUGGGCGUUAAGUUGCAGGGUAUAGACCCGAAACCCGGUGAUCUAGCCAUGGGCAGGUUGAAGGUUGGGUAACACUAACUGGAGGACCGAACCGACUAAUGUUGAAAAAUUAGCGGAUGACUUGUGGCUGGGGUGAAAGGCCAAUCAAACCGGGAGAUAGCUGGUUCUCCCCGAAAGCUAUUUAGGUAGCGCCUCGUGAACUCAUCUUCGGGGUAGAGCACUGUUUCGGCUAGGGGUCAUCCCGACUUACCAACCCGAUGCAAACUACGAAUACCGAAGAAUGUUAUCACGGGAGACACACGGCGGGUGCUAACGUCCGUCGUGAAGAGGGAAACAACCCAGACCGCCAGCUAAGGUCCCAAAGUCAUGGUUAAGUGGGAAACGAUGUGGGAAGGCACAGACAGCCGGGAUGUUGGCUUAGAAGCAGCCAUCAUUUAAAGAAAGCGUAAUAGCUCACUGGUCGAGUCGGCCUGCGCGGAAGAUGUAACGGGGCUAAACCAUGCACCGAAGCUGCGGCAGCGACACUAUGUGUUGUUGGGUAGGGAGCGUUCUGUAAGCCUGCGAAGGUGACCUGUGAGGGUUGCUGGAGGUAUCAGAAGUGCGAAUGCUGACAUAAGUAACGAUAAAGCGGGUGAAAAGCCCGCUCGCCGGAAGACCAAGGGUUCCUGUCCAACGUUAAUCGGGGCAGGGUGAGUCGACCCUAAGGCGAGGCCGAAAGGCGUAGUCGAUGGGAAACAGGUUAAUAUUCCUGUACUUGGUGUUACUGCGAAGGGGACGGAGAAGGCUAUGUUAGCCGGGCGACGGUUGUCCCGGUUUAAGCAUGUAGGCUGAUUGUCGGGCAAAUCCGGAUAAUCAAGGCUGAGGUGUGAUGACGAGGCACUACGGUGCUGAAGUAACAAAUGCCCUGCUUCCGGGAAAAGCCUCUAAGCAUCAGGUAACAUCAAAUCGUACCCCAAACCGACACAGGUGGUCAGGUAGAGAAUACCAAGGCGCUUGAGAGAACUCGGGUGAAGGAACUAGGCAAAAUGGUGCCGUAACUUCGGGAGAAGGCACGCUGGUGUGUAGGUGAAGUCCCUGCGGAUGGAGCUGAGACCAGUCGAAGAUACCAGCUGGCUGCAACUGUUUAUUAAAACACAGCACUGUGCAAACACGAAAGUGGACGUAUACGGUGUGACGCCUGCCCGGUGCCGGAAGGUUAAUUGAUGGGGUUAUCCGUAAGGAGAAGCUCUUGAUCGAAGCCCCGGUAAACGGCGGCCGUAACUAUAACGGUCCUAAGGUAGCGAAAUUCCUUGUCGGGUAAGUUCCGACCUGCACGAAUGGCGUAAUGAUGGCGGGCUGUCUCCACCCGAGACUCAGUGAAAUUGAACUCGCUGUGAAGAUGCAGUGUACCCGCGGCAAGACGGAAAGACCCCGUGAACCUUUACUAUAGCUUGACACUGAACAUUGAGCCUUGAUGUGUAGGAUAGGUGGGAGGCUUUGAAGCGUGGACGCCAGUCUGCGUGGAGCCAACCUUGAAAUACCACCCUUUAAUGUUUGAUGUUCUAACGUUGGCCCCUUACCGGGGUUGCGGACAGUGUCUGGUGGGUAGUUUGACUGGGGCGGUCUCCUCCCAAAGCGUAACGGAGGAGCACGAAGGUUAGCUAAUCUGGUCGGACAUCAGGAGGUUAGUGCAAUGGCAUAAGCUAGCUUGACUGCGAGCGUGACGGCGCGAGCAGGUGCGAAAGCAGGUCAUAGUGAUCCGGUGGUUCUGAAUGGAAGGGCCAUCGCUCAACGGAUAAAAGGUACUCCGGGGAUAACAGGCUGAUACCGCCCAAGAGUUCAUAUCGACGGCGGUGUUUGGCACCUCGAUGUCGGCUCAUCACAUCCUGGGGCUGAAGUAGGUCCCAAGGGUAUGGCUGUUCGCCAUUUAAAGUGGUACGCGAGCUGGGUUUAGAACGUCGUGAGACAGUUCGGUCCCUAUCUGCCGUGGGCGCUGGAGAAUUGAGGGGCUGCUCCUAGUACGAGAGGACCGGAGUGGACGCAUCACUGGUGUUCGGGUUGUCAUGCCAAUGGCACUGCCCGGUAGCUAAAUGCGGAAGAGAUAAGUGCUGAAAGCAUCUAAGCACGAAACUUGCCCCGAGAUGAGUUCUCCUGAGACUUUAAGUCUCCUGAAGGAACGUUGAAGACGACGACGUUGAUAGGCCGGGUGUGUAAGCGCAGCGAUGCGUUGAGCUAACCGGUACUAAUGAACCGUGAGGCUUAACCUU
rnacentral:rRNA from 1 species